UUUUUUCCUAGUAGGUGUGGAGUUUCCAGAAGAAACAAACAGAUCUCCUCAUUGCUUUUUAUAAGCAUAGAAUUACAAAGUUAGAAGCAGCCAUUCAGGAGGUACAGCAAACAGUGACCAGCCAGGACAAAGAGUUGUCAGUCUUGAGAAAAGAGAAUGAAGAACUGAAGAAAUUUCUAGCCUUCCUAAAGGAAUCUCCAAGUCGGUACCAAGGAAGCAGGUCAGUUUUAUCAGUGCGUGUACUGGCCCCCCAGCCUUG